AUUGAAACACCAGUUCCCAUACAUUCACUGAAGUUAAGCAACACCGAGCCUGGUCAGUAGCAAGAUGGGUGACCAUUUGAGAAUACCAGUUGCUGUAA